UCCAUUAAAGUAUCACGACGAUAUUUCAAGAAGGCCCAUAUGACCUCAUAGUUAAAAUUCUCAGCCAAGGAAUUGUAAUCCUUCUCCAGGUGUUCAUAAUCUUUUCCCCACGUAGCUAAAGUGUUCUUCAUUGUUUCAUGUUCAGCUAAGUGGAAAUCAAGGGAAGAUUGAAGGUUGACACGAGAACUCUCCAACAUAUGAAUCUUAUCGGAGGAAAUCCUUAAAUCAUUCUAAGCACGAGAUAAGUUCUCUACCAAUUGUUUUUGCAUGUUCUUCUUUUUUCUCCAAAAGAGCCUUUAACUCAUUAAUUUCUUCAUUAGCUUUAGAUAAAGAACCUUCCAAAUUUUCUUUAUCCUUCUUAAGUUUACCCCAUGAAGCAUUAGCAACUCCUAACUUUGAAGAUAAGCUACGAUUCUGUUGCUCCAAGCGAACUUUGUUUUCCUGUAACUCCUCUGUAGUCCCUUGAGCAUUCUCAUACUGAUCCUUCCAAUUC
rnacentral:lncRNA from 1 species